rnacentral:rRNA from 1 species
CGCGUAGGCGGGUUCGCAAGUCUGUGGUGAAAGCCUCCAGCUUAACUGGAGAAGUGCCGUGGAUACUGCGAAUCUUGAGGAGGGUAGGGGCAUCUGGAACGGUCGGUGGAGCGGUGAAAUGCGUUGAUAUCGACCGGAACUCCGGUGGCGAGGCGAGGUGCUGGACCCUUUCUGACGCUGAGGCGCGAAAGCCGAGGGGAAGGCAAACG